UACGAAGGGGGCUAGCGUUGUUCGGAUUUACUGGGCGUAAAGCGCACGUAGGCGGACUUUUUAAGUCAGGGGUGAAAUCCCAGAGCUCAACUCUGGAACUGCCUUUGAUACUGGAAGUCUUGAGUGUGGAAGAGGUUGGUGGAACUGCGAGUGUAGAGGUGAAAUUCGUAGAUAUUCGCAAGAACACCAGUGGCGAAGGCGGCCAACUGGUCCAUUACUGACGCUGAGGUGGCGAAAAGCGUGGGGGAGCAAACAGG
rnacentral:rRNA from 1 species